GCUUUGUUACAUGUGUUAUCAUAACACAAACAGUUAAGAGACAGCUUGUAGACAGCUUCAUCAGAAAUUUCUUACCCAGAAUCAAAGAUUUUACAUCCUAGGCCUGGAUGUGAACCUUGACCUGGACAAUCUUACAGAUAAUAAUAGAAGAGUCACCUGAAAUUGCACAGGCAAAUUCAUCAGAUUCAGAUCCUGUCCUGCCAUCUUCAGGUAGACGCAGUAGUGGAUAACCUGGCGAACCUUUAUUGGACUUAGAGCCACCUUGGGACAAUACCCCAUAACAAAUGUGCAUCUUAGGGUUGGCAAUCUCACUCAGUUUUGUAGGAAAGGAGGAUUGGCACCAUUGGAUUGACAAAUAUUGACAAUUGACAGUUCAGUCACACUAAACUAUAGUGGCAUGUUGCUUCAAGUUGCCACACUUAUUCUAAGAUUGCUGAAUUAUCAUUACUGUCUAAGGAGACCUUAGAUCUCUCAACCAGAAGAAGA